AGUCACUGACAUUAGAUACCCGCGUAGUCCAGGGUGUAAACGCUGCAGACUUGGUGUUGGAGGCCCUUUGGGGGCAUUCAGUGCCGGAGAGAAGUUGUUAAGUCUGCUACUUGGGGAGUACGUCCGCAAGGAUGAAACUUAAAGGAAUUGGCGGGGGAGCACCGCAACGGGAGGAGCGUGCGGUUUAAUUGGAUUCAACACCGUAAACUCACCAGGGAAGACUGUUACAUGAAGGCCGAGAUGAAGACUCUGCUAGAUUUUCAG
rnacentral:rRNA from 1 species